rnacentral:rRNA from 1 species
GAUGAACGCUGGCGGCGUGCCUAAUACAUGCAAGUCGAGCGAACAGACGAGGAGCUUGCUCCUCUGACGUUAGCGGCGGACGGGUGAGUAACACGUGGAUAACCUACCUAUAAGACUGGGAUAACUUCGGGAAACCGGAGCUAAUACCGGAUAAUAUAUUGAACCGCAUGGUUCAAUAGUGAAAGACGGUUUUGCUGUCACUUAUAGAUGGAUCCGCGCCGCAUUAGCUAGUUGGUAAGGUAACGGCUUACCUAGGCAACGAUGCGUAGCCGACCUGAGAGGGUGAUCGGCCACACUGGAACUGAGACACGGUCCAGACUCAUACGGGAGGCUGCAGUAGGGAAUCGUCCGCAAUGGGAGAAAGCAUGACGGAGCAACGCCGCGUGAGUGAUGAAGGUCUUCGGAUCGUAAAACUCUGUUAUUAGGGAAGAACAAAUGUGUAAGUAACUAUGCACGUCUUGACGGUACCUAAUCAGAAAGCCACGGCUAACUACGUG